UACGUAGGGUGCAAGCGUUAUCCGGAAUUAUUGGGCGUAAAGAGCUCGUAGGCGGUUUGUCGCGUCUGCUGUGAAAACUGGAGGCUCAACCUCCAGCCUGCAGUGGGUACGGGCAGACUAGAGUGCGGUAGGGGAGAUUGGAAUUCCUGGUGUAGCGGUGGAAUGCGCAGAUAUCAGGAGGAACACCGAUGGCGAAGGCGGAUCUCUGGGCCGAUACUGACGCUGAGGAGCGAAAGCGUGGGGAGCGAACAGG
rnacentral:rRNA from 1 species